CAGGGCCCAAACAAAGCAAGGAUCAGUGAGAAAGCCACAGUUUAAAAGCAAUUCUAAAUGAAAAGGAGGGACAACUCUCAAUUCUAGCUCUAGGGGAGUGACAGCUUUCAAGUAAGACUGCCAGCAAACACUACCUUCCUUCACAGCAAUGCCAUAAAAUGAAUGAGAGCCACAUACACACCUGGCUAUGAAUCAUCUAUCUGCA
rnacentral:lncRNA from 1 species